rnacentral:rRNA from 1 species
GAUGAACGCUGGCGGCGUGCCUAAUACAUGCAAGUCGAGCGAACGGACGAGAAGCUUGCUUUUCGGAUGUUAGCGGCGGACAGGUGAGUAACACGUGGAUAACCUACCUAUAAGACUGGCAUAACUUCGGGAAACCGGAGCUAAUACCGGAUAAUAUUUUGAACCGCAUGGUUCAAAAGUAAAAGACGGUCUUGCUGUCACUUAUAGAUGGAUCCUCGCUGCAUUAGCUAGUUGGUAAGGUAACGGCUUCUCAAGGGAACGAUGCAUAGCAGACCUGACAGGGUGUUCGGAUACAGUGGAACUGAGCCACAGUCCAGACUCCUACGGCAGGAAGCAGUAGGCAGUCUUUCGCGAUAGGCGAAUGAAUGACGUCGCAACGCCGCGUGAGUGAUGAAGGUCUUUGGCUCGUACAUCGCUGUUACUAGGAAAAAACAUAUGUGUAAGUAACUGUGCACAUCUUAACGGUACUUAAUCAGAACGCCACGGCUAACUAAGUG